rnacentral:lncRNA from 1 species
AACAGCCUUAUCUGCCGCCCUAGAGCCUUUUCCCUAUAACAGUGAAAUCAACAAUGACUGUGUCAGGAGAGAUCUUUAACUUAUUAUUUAUUACAAGAUAUUCUAAUGUUUAAAGAGCAAUCCAACAUAAAUGAAGAGAACAUAAGAAACAGCAUACACAAUACUGGACAUCACAGGACCCUCUCCGGCUGGAUACCAGGCUGUAGAACCACCAGAUGCUUCAGAUGAGAAAGGUUGGAUCUGUUUCACAGGGAAGGGGCUAAACUGUUUCAAGAGGCGACCACGCGCUGGGCACUCUGUGUCUCGCUCUGUCACCCAGGCUGGAGUGCAGUGGUGUGAUCUCGGUUCACUGCAACCUCAACCUCCUCGGCUCAUGUGGAUCCUCCCACCUCAGCUUCCUAAGUAGCUGAGACUACAGUACUUUGCAACCUACCAAGUAUCAUCACAAGAGCUAUGAAAGUGAAGAGAGACAUACGUUAUCUAAGAAUCUGAGAGAGAUGACUCAGUCAGCAUCCUCUCUCUUGGUGUACAAUGGUAGGGACAGCUACUGUGUCAUCUGGAGCAUGACAAUGAGAACACAGACACUGGAUCGUCCUGAUAUAGCCUGCAGUCCAUCUGGGCCUCUAGACAUUCAUUUGCAUUUGCAUUCAUGCGCAUCCCCUACUACUCCAACUCCUACACCUUUUGGCAGGAUAUAUCCACACAGCUGGAUUGGAAUCACAAGAUGUUUUUAUUUUUUGCCUCAUUAAACUAGUUUCUCUCAAGCA